GACGAACGCUGGCGGCGUGCCUAAUACAUGCAAGUAGAACGCACAGUUUAUACCGUAGCUUGCUACACCAUAAACUGUGAGUUGCGAACGGGUUAGUAACGCGUAGCUAACCUGCCUGGUAGCGUGGGAUAACUAUUGGAAACGAUAGCUAAUACCGCAUAAUAUUUAUUAUUGCAUGAUAAUUGAUUGAAAGAUGCUAUUGCAUCACUACCAGAUGGACCUGCGUUGUAUUAGCUAGUAGGUGAGGUAACGGCUCACCUAGGCGACGAUACAUAGCCGACCGGAGAGGGUGAUCAGCCACACUGGGACUGAGACACGGCCCAGACUCCUACGGGAGGGAGCAGUAGGGAAUCUGCGGCAAUGGACGAAAGUCUGACCGAGCAACGCCGCGUGAGUGAAGAAGGUUUUCGGAUCGUAAAGCUCUGUUGUAAGAGAAGAAAGGGUGUGAGAGUGGAAAGUUCACACUGUGACGGUAUCUGACCAGAAAGGGACGGCUAACUACGUG
rnacentral:rRNA from 1 species